AAAUAAUUCAACACAGCCAAGGCCAGAUGCGGAACCCACCUGAGCUCAGCACAAAUUGUUGACUUGCAGAACUCAUUCAGAGGAAAGGGGGUUAAUAUGACGGACACUGAUGAAAUCUCAACAACUUUUAAAGACUGAUCUGAGACUUGAAUCUCAUUCUCCUGACUCAAAGGCCAAGUGAAGCCUAGAGAAGAUAUGUGACUUGCUCAACUUCAUAGAGCUGAUAAGUGGAAGAGUUGGAAUUUAAAUACAGAUUGCUUUAAUUACAAAGGUCCUACUGUUAACCAUUAAGGUAUAAUUUAAUAAUAAUAAAAUUAAUAAUGUGGUUGCCCAUCAUAACACUGCUACAUUGACCCGAGAUACUUUAUGAUAAUCCUAACUUUGUAUAGUUGUCCUUCAGUAUAUGUGGGAGAUGGGUUCCAGGACCCCUAUAUACACCAAAAUCCACACAUACUAAAGUCCCACAAUGGGCCCAGAAAAACCACUGUAUAGGAAAAGUCAUCCCUCUGUAUUUGCACAUUUUGCAUCCCAUAACUACUAUAUUUUCAAUCUACAUUUAGUUGGAAAAAAAAAUCCAUGUAUAAGUGGACCAACACAGUUCAAACCUGUGUUGUGCAAGGGUCGACUGUAUUUAAUGCAUCAGUUCAAAAGGUCAGUGGAAAACCAGGUACUAUCUAAAUAUUCUGUCCAUUUUUGGAGCUAUUUAUGUUUUACAAUGAGCCUCUCCCCUGUAGACUCUUCUUAGAUCAACUCUAUAGAGUAUUUAUUUAUUAGGACUAAGGAAUUAUUUGUGUGUGCAUAUAGUUGGUCCAAAAAGUAAACCACUGUCCCAAACAGGGCCAGAAUCAUUUUCUGGUGUUGACAUUCUGAUGCUGCGAAAAAGAAAUGCUCUCAUUCUCCAGAGGUUACUGAUCUUAGUGUACUGAAUACCUUCCAUUUGCUCCUUUAAAUCUACCCUCCAGCCCUCUUCAGGACAGUCUGUGCUUUAGGAGGUUGACCUGUGUGGAGUACACCCACAUGCUAUGGGGAGCACUGGCAGGUAAAUGGAGCUGGGGAGAUGGCGGUGGAAUGCAAUCUGACUUAUCUUGACAGAGCUCAUGUCAGGGGGCCCUUUUGGUCUCUGGUUUCCAUAACUGCUAUCAUCUCCCCUCAUCCCUUCAGGCUUAGAAGUGGUAACAUCUGCCCACCAGGCUAUUUCUGUAAUACUCUGUAUAUGUGCACUAUAAUAUCCUUUGUGGUAUUUUUACCCAUAUCUCUGUAAAUAGUCUCUAUUAAGGUCUCCUCAGAUCCCUCAAUCUGAAAGGCCUGCCUUUCCUCUUGGGACCCUCACUGAUACGGUGAGGUGGCAGGUGAUCAUUUCCUAGCCAUGCAGCAGAACAGGAAUGUCUGCAGUAGAAGCAAAUAAGAGAGAAGAGUGCAAGUGAAGAGAGAAAGAGAGUCCUGGUGCCAUGGCAAUUUGGAUUCCAGUCCUGGAGACCCUCAUUUCUACAGCUUUUCCUUCCAUUCCAUGAGUUACUUUAGUAUACUCCAUGUCAAGCAGGCAAGCAACAGGAAGUGAAUGAGUGUUUAGAUCAUUCUGAAUUGGGUUUUCUGUUACUUGCCAUGAAGUAUAUGAGGGUAGUUCGUGGCUUAUGAAACUGAAACAUCCAGAGGUAGGUGGGUUUCAGAAUUAGUGGAUCUAGUAGCUUGACAAUGUCAUCAAAGACCUUGUUUGCUGUCCAGUGUCAGCUUCCUUCUAAGCCUGGUUUUCUGCAUAGUUGUAAAAAGGCGGUUGUAUCCUUCCCUCUUACAUUUGGUAGGAGAUAGAUAGUUGCUUCCAGAAAAUUCUUUCCUUGAAACCCUCAGCAAAUCUCUCCUUGCUUCCCAUUGGCCCACACACUGUUACAUGCUUCUCACUGAACCAAAAACAGUAGGCAGGAGGUGAAAUUAUGCUGAUUAGUGUAAACCUGUGCCAUAAGCUGGGUCCCUUGAAUCUGGUGAGGUCAGUUUGCCAAAAGUGCGUGGGCUUCUGGGUAGGGAUAUAAGGAGGAGAAUGGAUGAUGAACAAUUAGGGGAGUUACUAAGAGAAAAGGAAAUGGAUAUUGGGGAGAUAACUCAAUGUCUUCUAUACUUUCCCAGUUACACAAGUCAAUAGUUUAUUUCCUGCUUAAACUGUUUUAUGUUAAGUUUCCUUCUUGUCUUAAAAAAGCCUUAAUACAACUGGGAAGCUCUGCCAUUUACUAGCUGUGUGACUUAGGGCAUGUCACACAAGCUAUUUAAG